rnacentral:rRNA from 1 species
UACGUGAGGGGCGAACGUUGUUCGGUGUCACUGGGCUUAAAGGGCGCGUAGGUGGUUGCGUAAGUAACGUGUGAAAUCCCUCGGCUUACCCGGGGAAUUGCAUGUUAUACUGCGUGGCUUGAGGAUCUCAGGGGAAAGGGGAACUCCAGGUGUAGCGGUGAAAUGCGCAGAUAUCGGGAGGAACACCAAUGGCGAAGGCAGCUCGCUGGGACGCUACUGACGCUGAGACGCGAAAGCGUGGGGAGCAAACAGG